CUCCAGUAUGCGUCCAUUCAUGUCGGUGAAGGGAAAAAGAAGUAGUGAAGACUUUUCCACAUUGUUGGCAUUCAUUGGGCUUCUCUCCAGUAUGGAUUUGUUCAUGUAUCUGAAGGUAAGAUGAAGUACUGUAGGCUUUUCCACAUUGUUGACAUUGAUAGGGCUUCUCUCCGGUAUGCGUACGUUCAUGUCUGUGAAGGGAAGAAGAAGUAGUGAAGACUUUUCCACAUUGUUGGCAUUCAUUGGUAUUCUCUCCAGUAUGGAUUUGUUCAUGUAUCUGAAGGUAAGACAAAGUAGUGAAGGCUUUCCCACAUUGUUGACAUUUAUAGGGUUUCUUUUUCAUAUGUGUUCUUUCAUGUCUGCGAAGUAUAGAGGAGUUAGUGAAGGCUUUGCCACACUGCUUACAUUCAUAGGGCUUCUCCCCACUAUGAGUCCGCUCAUGUAUCUGAAGGUAGGAAGAAGUACUGAAGGCUUUCCCACAUUGUUGACAUUCAUAGGGCUUCUCCCCAGUAUGAGUUUUUUCAUGUCUGUGAAGUAUAGAGGAGUUAGUGAAGGCUUUGCCACACUGUUCACAUUCAUAGGGCUUCUCUCCA
rnacentral:lncRNA from 1 species